UCAUAUGCUUGUCUCAAAGAUUAAGCCAUGCAUGUCCAAGUACAAGCCUCACUAAGGUGAAACCGCGAAUGGCUCAUUAAAUCACACCUAAUCUACUGGAUAGUUAACAGGUACUUGGAUACCUGCGGUAAUUCUGGAGCUAAUACAUGCGAAAAGCCUCGAACUUACGUGAGAGGCGCUUUUAUUAGAUCAAAACCAAUCGGCUUCGGCUGUACUCUUGGUGACUCUGAAUAACUUUGGGCUGAUCGUAUAGCCUUGCGCUGACGACAUAUCCUUCGAAGGUGUGCCCUAUCAACUGUCGACUGUGGCAUAGACGCCCACAGUGGUUUUGACGGGUAACGGGGAAUCAGGGUUCGAUUCCGGAGAGGGAGCCU
rnacentral:rRNA from 1 species